UGGGGAAUAUUGGACAAUGGGCGCAAGCCUGAUCCAGCAAUGCCGCGUGGAUGAAGAAGGUUUUCGGAUUGUAAAGUCCUUUCGGCGGGGACGAUGAUGACGGUACCCGCAGAAGAAGCCCCGGCUAACUUCGUGCCAGCAGCCGCGGUAAUACGAAGGGGGCUAGCGUUGCUCGGAAUGACUGGGCGUAAAGGGCGCGUAGGCGGAUGGCUUUGUCGGGCGUGAAAUUCCAGGGCUCAACCUUGGGUCUGCGUUCGAGACGGGCUGUCUUGAGUAUGGCAGAGGGUCGUGGAAUUCCCAGUGUAGAGGUGAAAUUCGUAGAUAUUGGGAAGAACACCGGUGGCGAAGGCGGCGACCUGGUCCAAGACUGACGCUGAGGCGCGAAAGCGUGGGGAGCAAACAGGAUUAGAUACCCUGGUAGUCCACGCUGUAAACGAUGUGCGCUGGAUGUUGCGGUGCGUAGCACUGCAGUGUCGUAGCCAACGCGGUAAGCGCACCGCCUGGGGAGUAC
rnacentral:rRNA from 1 species